rnacentral:rRNA from 1 species
UUCCAAACAACUUAGCGGCGGACGGGUGAGUAACACGUAGGUAACCUGCCUAUAAGACUGGGAUAACUACCGGAAACGGUAGCUAAUACCGGAUAAUUUGUUUCUUCUCAUGAAGAGACACUGAAAGGCGGAGUAAUCUGCCACUUAUAGAUGGGCCUGCGGCGCAUUAGCUAGUUGGUGAGGUAACGGCUCACCAAGGCGACGAUGCGUAGCCGACCUGAGAGGGUGAACGGCCACACUGGGACUGAGACACGGCCCAGACUCCUACGGGAGGCAGCAGUAGGGAAUCUUCCGCAAUGGACGAAAGUCUGACGGAGCAAUGCCGCGUGAGUGAUGAAGGUUUUCGGAUCGUAAAGCUCUGUUGCCAGGGAAGAACGCUUGGGAGAGUAACUGCUCUCAAGGUGACGGUACCUGAGAAGAAA